rnacentral:rRNA from 1 species
GACGAAGGAUGCAAGCGUUAUCCGGAUUCAUUGGGUUUAAAGGGAGCGUAGGUGGCCUUAUAAGUCAGUGGUGAAAUCCUGUUGCUUAACAGCAGGAUUGCCAUUGAUACUGUAGGGCUUGAGUAUAGUUGCCGUUGGCGGAAUAUGACAUGUAGUGGUGAAAUACAUAGAGAUGUCAUAGAACACCGAUUGCGAAGGCAGCUAACGAAACUAUAACUGACACUGAGGCUCGAAAGUGCGGGGAUCAAACAGG